rnacentral:rRNA from 1 species
UAACACUGCAAGUCGAGGGGUAACAGAGAAAAGCUUGCUUUUUUGCUGACGACCGGCGCACGGGUGCGUAACGCGUAUGCAAUCUACCUUUUGCUAAGGGAUAGCCCAGAGAAAUUUGGAUUAAUACCUUAUAGUAUGAUGACUUGGCAUCAAGAUAUCAUUAAAGAUUACGGCAAAAGAUGAGCAUGCGUUCUAUUAGCUAGUUGGUGUGGUAACGGCAUACCAAGGCAACGAUAGAUAGGGGUCCUGAGAGGGAGAUCCCCCACACUGGUACUGAGACACGGACCAGACUCCUACGGGAGGCAGCAGUGAGGAAUAUUGGACAAUGGAGGCAACUCUGAUCCAGCCAUGCCGCGUGCAGGAAGACUGCCCUAUGGGUUGUAAACUGCUUUUAUACAGGAAGAAAUACCUCUACGUGUAGAGAUUUGACGGUACUGUAAGAAUAAGGAUCGGCUAACUCCGUGCCAGCAGCCGCGGUAAUACGGAGGAUCCAAGCGUUAUCCGGAAUCAUUGGGUUUAAAGGGUCCGUAGGUGGAUAAUUAAGUCAGAGGUGAAAUCCUGCAGCUUAACUGUAGAAUUGCCUUUGAUACUGGUUAUCUUGAGUUAUUAUGAAGUGGUUAGAAUAUGUAGUGUAGCGGUGAAAUGCAUAGAUAUUACAUAGAAUACCAAUUGCGAAGGCAGAUCACUAAUAAUAUACUGACCUGAGGU